rnacentral:lncRNA from 1 species
GGUGCUGAAAGAGAAAGACAAAAGUGACCGCCAUGUGUGUCCUGCGUUGGCUACCUCUGACACAAGGGGUCGGAAGUCUCACCAAAUCCACCGGAAAGCAUCGCGUGUGGUGCCUGCAAUCUUGCUCCAGCAACCAUGCAACGCCAGUCUUCCGAGACUCGUAGCUCUCUUCCUUCGUUUAUCACUGGUAUUCAUUUUUCCCUCCUCCUCCG